UACGGAGGGUGCAAGCGUUAUCCGGAUUUAUUGGGUUUAAAGGGUCCGUAGGCGGGCCCAUAAGUCAGUGGUGAAAUCCUGCAGCUCAACUGUAGAACUGCCAUUGAUACUGUGGGCCUUGAAUUUGGUUGAAGUGGGCGGAAUAUGACAUGUAGCGGUGAAAUGCUUAGAUAUGUCAUAGAACACCGAUUGCGAAGGCAGCUCACUAAGCCUGGAUUGACGCUGAUGGACGAAAGCGUGGGUAGCGAACAGG
rnacentral:rRNA from 1 species